rnacentral:lncRNA from 1 species
GCCAUUCUCUCAUUCUCCCAUGGAAAGUUAAUUUUCUUUCAUUUUUUUCCUUGUUUUCUUUUCAUUUCCUUUCUCUUCUUGUUUCUUUCUUCUCUCAACUCCUUGUGCACCAAAGUUACAACUUCUAAACCCAAUUUCCAGCACUUCCAAACCCAAGGAAAGAGAAAGAAAAAUCUCUUUUUCUUUUCUUUAUUUUCUAUUUCUACUUCACUUUCAACAGCACUUGGAUUUUUGGCUUCAAAUCUUCAUUUUCAAGGUUGAAAGGUAUAUAUUUUCAACUUUUGGAAUUUUUGAAUUUAUGGUUAUAUAUUCAGAUUUAUUCCCUAAUUUCUUCAAAUUAUUUUUCUUGAAAAGAUUAAGUUUUUUUUAUUGAUCUUCAUGCCUUCAAGCUCAUCCAGGUAACGAAAUUGUAAAUUGGAGUAGUUGGCCAAAUGGGUUUCUAAAUUAGACUAGACACUUAGGUUAAAUGUUAGGUUAGAGGGUAGAUUGCCUAAUGUAAAUUCAUUAGAAUUAUUAGAUUUAAUUUAUGACUUAAUUGAGGUUGUUAUGGUUUAUUGAUAAAUAUACGCUUUAAUGGUAUUUCGAGACUACUUGGAUUAGGACCUUGCUAGUGCUAGUUUUGUCAGGUGAGUGAACUUGCAUUUCAAAAUAUUUUGGGGAAAUGUUUACGUGUUUCAAUGAAUCAUUUGGGAAUUUUAUCGAUUUUUGCUUUAAAAUUUCCUAGGAACAAGCCCUUGAUAAAACGUUUGAUGUUGUAAAAUGUGAAAUGUGUAAAAGGUUGAAUCCAUAUGUUUUUGUAUAAUGUUGAUAUAUAUAUAUAUAUAUAUAUAUAUAUANNNNNNNNNNNNNNNNNNNNNNNNNNNNNNNNNNNNNNNNNNNNNNNNUAUAUAUAUACUAUGUCAUAAAUGGUACCAUUGUGUGACAAAUGCAACCGUGCAUGUGCAGGGUGAGUGUGCACUUGCCGGUGAUGACGGUGGUGAGGGAGAUGGAUGGUGAUGCUGUCCGGCUAUGUGCACGAUGUGGUGGGAUGCACAUGAGCUGGGUGAAAUGCACAUGAUGAAUCUUGAAAAUUUGUCAUUUAUUUGCAAAUUGAUUUUAUUGCAACGAGAAACAUUCUGUUUAUACUGCCUUACUUAGAUAAUUGCUAAAAAUUUCCCUUCUUUCCAAUUUCAUGUUGAAUAUGGUUCCUUCAUCAUUAAAUGAUUUUACAACCAAGGGUUUAAUGGAGGGAUUUUAAAAAGAACUUGAACUAAAUGGCAUUGUUUUCAAAUAAGUGCAUUGUGUUUUCUAAACCAUUCCUUGUCAUUGCUUGUUCCUUUCUUAUGUUCACUCAUUGAGUUUGUACUCACAUUUUUAGAAUUCAUGUUUUAGGUUUCCUAAGUUAAAGGUGAUUGGAUCCUAGGACAAGGUGCUCUUCCCUAUCCAUUGCUCGGUAGGUUUACCAUGACAUUAAAUGUUAGCAACUGUGACCAGAGUUACUCCGCUGACGGUCAAGGUCUAAUUAUGUGUAUAUGAAUACUUGAGGUGAAAUACUAAGAUUCAUUGGUCAAGCUAUAUAUAUAUAUAUUAUGGUAGAUGAUGCCAUUAUGAAUGCAUAAUUGGGUUUUAUGAAUUGUUUUCAAAGAGACUACAUUUGAACAUUAUGAAUUUUAGAUUUUAAAGGUAUAUGAAUUACUGUAUAAGAUUAUACAAUAAGGCUUGCUUGGGCUUAGUGGGUUGGGCCCAUUGGGCCCUUGCAUCGGUCAUGACCAUGAAAUUGGGCUGUGACAAAGGUGGUAUCGGAGCUUUAGGUUUAGUUGAGUCUUAGGGAUUCCUGUGUGGUUAGCGGAGUUGUUGGAGUUUGUGUAAAGUCUUGUCCUUGGAUAGUGGGUGCACAACGCAAGUCAAGGAUGGGAGUCUACAUGGGCCCCUACUUCAUUAGAAACCUACCUGUUCUUAUGAUGUUUAGAUGGAUGAGUAAUUAAUACUUGGUUGCGUAUAGGUGGAGGUGCACCAGUUGCACACUCCAUGUCUAGAAAAAAUGGUAGUCCCGAUACCCCUUAUAGUUCUGUGAGGGAUCACUAGAUUCCACUGCUCGGAGCUGAUAUGUACCCGAGGGUGAAAGCAUAACAAGUAACCCGACUUGAUUUUCGAGUGGAUGGAUUCUCCCGAGAGGUAAACCACUAUUUAAGAGCUUCAGGAGUCUCGCAAGACUAGUGCAUAAUGAGAUCGAUCGGAGGAAAAAGAACACGAAUAAAAUGGGAAAAAAGACUAUCAGUAAUUAUCAUCCUAGGAAGGUAUCUGUAUCCGUUGUCUGACACUUUCCUCUUGGUUGUGGGAGAGGUGUUGUACUUGUUAGUAAGGAGAAAUUUGAGAAGCAGCAACAAGCUUGGAUUGAGAAUAAAAAAUUGGAAAAUCUCAAGAGGAAAAGGAGGACUUGGAAAAGGAUCUGUCGAUGUGCUCGGAUCAAGGCGACGAGGAUCCUAAAGACACUUAAUAUUUUCGUUGAAGUUCGUAUCACUUUAAGUCUAGGUAGAUGCGGUGUAAAGGAAAUAGUAGUAGUUAUCCAUACAAAAGAGUUAAGAGUUGGCUUAUAUUUUGUAUGACUUGAAUGAAUUAUAAAGUAGCUAUUUAAAUAACUGGAUGUGUAUGGGAAUCUUUUGGUAUAACAGAGGUAGGCUAGUAAUAUAAUUAUUGAGGAAGGAUAUUCACCUUAGUGGUGUGGUUGGUCACCUUAGAUGAUUAUUAAGGAUUGACGUAUAAAGUCAUUAAUGGUACAAACAACUACGAGACCUGACAAAUGAUUACCAAUUAAUUAUGGAAAGGUGAAAUUUGAAAUCCCAAUUGCAGUUACAAUUUGGACAGAUAUGGGAGAAAUCAAUGAGGAUAUAAGUGACACUUAGAAUGGGUGAUGUGAUUAAGUCAAAGAUUGUAAAAUUUAAGUAUGGAGGGAACUACAAAAUGAUGCCAUGACAUUAUAAGAUGAUAAUUUGGCACAAAUAUGGACUAAGGAGUCAAAUUAUGGAACUUGGGGAAAAGUGAAUCCUUGAUUUAAUAAAAAUUGUGGAUGUAGAGCGUGGAGAAAGAUGAACUAUUUUCAUGGUCAUUUGUACUGAAAGUCAACAAAACUGUUUGAGUUACAUGAUGUCACAACCCAAAAUUUCGAGCCAUGAUCGGUGCAUGGGCCCAAUGGACGUAGUCCACGAAGCCCAAGCAAGCCUAUUAAUCUGACAUGGUCAUCAUUCCAUCAUAAACUGCUAAGUCACAUUUCAUAACUUAGGAUCAAAAUAAUAUUAAACAUUGCCACCUCAUAUUGGCAUACCAAACAAGUGUAUAUACAUCGUCUACAAUAUGUAUCUUAAUAAUUUACAUUAGGUUUGUCUAUACACAACAAAAGAAUACUCGACUUCCAACGGAGGGACUCAGAUGAAUGUACAGCUACUGAAUGCCGAGACACUUACCAAAAGAUGGAUACAAGUCUACAAGGACACCUCGUCCUAGUUACCGACUGCCUCGUGAUAUGAAAACAUGAAGUUGAAAAUGGUAAGUAUAAACCUAGUGAGUGAACAAGGAAGGGAACAAGCAACAAUAGGGAAGAAUUUAAAAUCAUGAUACACUUGUUUUAAAACAAUGCAAUUUAAUUUCAUUCAUAUUAAAAACCCCUUAUCAAACCCUUAAAUGAUUAAUCACUUGGUAAUAAUGAACCCAUACAUAACAAAUAAUUUGAAAACUUGAGGUUUCAGUGAUACGCAAACAAGUCAAAUGUGACAACGAAUCUUCGCUGCAGCGGAAAGGUAUUCUCACUGCAGCGAUGUUGGAAUUUAAGUUAUUAGCUGAACGAGGGCUUCUCAACUGGCCGAGGGUUUCUUACCAAACCUCCUCAUUUUAAACUUAAAUCAUUUAUUCCUUAAUGUUGAAGUCCAUGCUCAACCAUGGUAUCAAAGAGGUGAAAAAUAGGGCAACAAUUGAUCAAGAUGUGAGACAAAACAGAAAGUUUUUCGCUGCAGCAAGAAUGAAUCUUACUGUAGCGAAAUUUUUGCACCAAGACAGAAACUUUCUCGCUGCAAUGAGAUUUAUUCUCGCUGCAGCGAGUUUUCAGCCAGCCACCCUCCAAAAAACCCUAGAGUUUCUCGCUACAGUGAGAAACAGGGCACCAAUGAAAAAUUUCACUUCCUCCCAAAGAAAACCACCCUGCUGAAAUGUCCAAAACCAAUAGGAAACACAUAACAACUUCCCAAAGUUUAACAUACUGAAUUUCACAUACAUUACAACCAUAUACCAUUACUCAUAAAUUUCUUAUAACACACAUGUUUUCAUAUAUAUAUGUAUAUACAUAUACCCAUCAUCAUCAUGCACACCAUCCCAUCAUCCCCAGCUCAUGCGCACUCCCUACUCGCACAUGGCUAGGUCAUCAUCGAGUUAUGCGCACUCCCUACUCGAACAUAACCGGGUCAUCAUCGGCUUAUGCGCACUCCCUACUCGCACAUAGCCGAGUCAAAAUCAUUACACAAUAAUGUAUUCAUAUAUAUAUAUAUAUAUAUCAACACAAUGUGGUAGUGCAUGAAUCAAUAAUAGUCACAUGUCAUAACAAGGAGACAAUUUAUCAAAAGCUUGUUCCCAAGUCACUUGUUUUUAUGAAAAGCUAGAUAAUCCAUUCAAAUGUUUGGCAAAUACAUUAUAUCCCCAAAACAAGUUUUGAAUGUAGUUCACUCACCGAUUUAUUGUUGAGCCUUUAGUUGACUCUAAUUCCUUUAAUGAUCCAAUUGGGGUGAUGGGGCUUCGUUAGAACCUAAAAUCACAUUAGCAUCAGCAAUAGGUCAAUUCACAUACUAUAAACCCUAAAAGCUAUCUCUUAGCUAGCUUUCAAUUGCCACAUUAAAUGGCUAUCUAUGUUCACUAUCUUAAUCACUAUAAAUUUAAUGAACAUCCUCAACAAUAAAACAGCUCAUAAUCUCAAUUACUAGCCAUUAUCCACAGCUAAAAACCAAGCUUAGUUCAUCACUCACCCUAAGGUUUCUUUGUAGUUGAAUUCUCUUCUAAUAGCUUCUAAACAAAUGGAGUAAUUCUCUCUUUCUCUCUCUAAAAUGCCCAACUAGUGAGAGAAAGUAUGGAAAUAAGAUUUUUUAAGGGUUUUAAGGAGAGAGAGUGAAAAAGCACAAGGGUCUAUGGAAAGGGUGCACCAAAAGCAUGAAUUUUAGAGCUAUUUAGGGAAGAUUGUGGAAUUUUUUUUGUCAAGCUUUCAUGGAGGUGGAGAAGCAAUGUGAAAUGAAAGAAGAAAAAGAAGGAAAGUUGCUGGAGAAUGUAGAAGCUGCUGGAAGGAAGAGAUAUUUAUAGCCCAUGCUUAUCCAUUUCACUUAAAUUACUAAAAUGCCCCUCCAUAAAUUAACUUACUCUCCUCCAACCCUUUAUGCAAUCUUUUUACUCCUUUGACACUGGGACAAGGUCCAUAAUGGUCUAGACAUGCUCAGAUUCAUGAAAACUUAAAAUUCUAACCAUAGGUGAAAAAUGACCAUUUUACCCCUAUCGUGAAAAUCAUCAAAAUUUUAAUUUUCUUUUCAUCUUACCCCUAAUUUCAUCAUCCAUUUAUGCCUUAGGCCUACUUAGGCCACAAUAUUAUUUAAAAUCUUACUUUUGUGGGCUUACUAAGAAAAUAACGAAAUUACCCCUGAUCAGGGAUAUCGCGUAUAUUACUAACUACAAGUCUAUAAAGAUCAAGAUCUCACAUAUGACAAGAAAGACAAUUAAUUGUGAAUGCUAAGGAAUUGUGGAAUGUCAUAAAUGGUGGAUAAUUUUACGUGUGGUAUUAUAUAUUGAGAACUUUUUACACAAUAUGGCAAGAUUGUCCUAAGGUGGGACUCAUUGGUUGAAGAAAAAUGUUAAAGGAUAAAAUGAGUUUGAAAAUAUUGACUCGGCUUAGUGCAUAUGAUAAGCAAAAGAGAAGAUACACAUGGUUAUGAAAAUUGUGGGAUAGGCAUGGAGGAAAGCCAAAUGGUUGAGCAUGAUCCCUGUAGUAACUUUAAAGAUGGAAGAACUUAUUCGUGGAAGAAAUUUUCAGCAGCCAUAGCGCUACAGCACUAACUCUUUAACGCUGUAGCGUUGAAACUACCCAUAUCCAACAGUCGCGAUGCUGCAGCACUGACUGUCCAAGGCUGCAACACUACGAAUACCUCAUGUCUAGGGUGCAUGAGCAAGAUGGGAGUGGCACGAUAAUGAGCUUACAAGCUGAAUUAUGGUCAUUGGUCAUUGAGCUUUGUUAUUUGGGAGUUUUAAAUGUUCCGGAGAAUGUUUACAUGAAUGUAUUGAAAAGUUUCUUUAUUGCCUUUUAUAUGGGCAUAUAAUUUAAAGAGAAGUUGAAAGAUUCUUGAGAUGGCUACACUAAGAUAAGAUACCAUGUGAAGUAUUAGGAUGAAUAAUAUGUUGACCAAAGUCAAAUCCUAAGAAAUAAAGGAGACGAGAGAUUAAGCCUUGUUAAGGGCUAAGGAAAUAGUGAGUGAAGAGUUAGAUGAAUAUAUGAGAUACGGGUAAGGGAUUUCAAUUCUAAGUGAUGAAAGUGUGAAUGAAGGAUUACAAGAGUGGUAUAGCAAAUGAGUUAUAUAGAAUACUGCUAUGAGAAUUUGCAAUUCCUGUCUUGACUCAGUUGGAUGAAAAGGAUUAGUAACAACACAAGGCCGAUUAGGUGGCAUGCUAGAAACGCUUGGGGAUAAAUUGAAGUAUGAAUAGUUGAGCAUGCACUUGAAUAUCUUGGUGAAUAAGUGCAUGCCUUUUUUGGAAUGAUAUGCUUGGAAUGUUAAAGAGCAAAUAAGUGACUAAGUGUUUCAGGAAUGCACAAAUAUCUUUGAAAAGGAAUUACCAAUCAUACAUGGCGAGUAUAAAAAGUGGGAUUUUUAAAAACUUGCUGAAGAGCCUAACGGCUGAGUCAUGGGUUAAGUGAUCACAUGCGGUGAAGCAUAAGUUUAAGAUAAGUAUCCCUAAGGAAAUACUCAAGAGGCGUUCUACUAUGGAUCUUGUGAAAGUAAGCAUUAAGUUAUAUGGUCAUAAAGAAAAAGCUGUAAACUGAAAGUGAGAUUCGUAUUGACAUUGAAAAGUACUUAAGGAGGACCUUGUUUCAAGUCUUGCAGUUUCAAGUACAAACUAUAGAUUGGUCCAGGGAGAAUGAUGUCACAUUAGUAUGGAAGAAUACAACAAAGGAUGAUUGAAGAUAAUCUGGAUAAUGACGUCCGAUAAUGAAAACUUCCUAAUGUAGUAUGGAAAUUAGAAUUUGAAAAUGCUUAAGGCAUGCACGAUUCGAAUAAGUCUAAGUUUUAAGUGACACAUUAAAGUCGAAAUGCAACAAGGAUAUAAUAUAUAUAUACAUAUUAGAGGUAUGAAGAAUAAUUGAGAAAUAAGGAUGACUUUUAGGGAUUGUGGUAUUACAAAUAUGCAAUGAUCCAAUAAAGAUAAACCUUUGAAAGAUCAACGAGAUUAUAAAGUAUAUACGAAUAUCGGAUUACAAUUUAAUGCAAAUGACAUUUAGCAAGUGAGAUGUGAUUAAUGACAUUGUGAUGCAAAGAUAUAUAUAGUACGAUGAAACUCUAGCAAAUGAUAUAAACGAUAUGAAGUUAUGCAUAGGCAUAAUAAGAAUGUUGACAUGCACUAUGAGAAUUAUUAUAUUGAAUCUUGGAUAGGGAUGGGAAUGAAUAAAGGGAGACGUAGUCCAAGGCACGGGAACACAUGGAUCCCUAUGCGUAACAAGGAAUGUUGAUGUUUGGAAAUGCAUGUACAUACGUAUAUGUGAAAUUGAUGACUUGACCAACUGAGGUGAAGAAUUGUUCUAAGUAAUUUGAGAUUUAAACUCAAUAAUUGAUGAGUUGUAUAGAUAGCACAAUGAUAAAAUAUCCCAUCAGAAGUUGAGCUAUGUUGAUAUAAGAAAUUUUGGAGAAAUAGUCAAAGAAAUGAUACCACGGAAAUGUAAUCUAUAACGUGGUUAAGCUACACAAGAUGGACUAAUACAAUUAAGAAGAUUGAAGUUGCAGAAAUUGAAGGUAAACAUGAGUAUGUGGGAAUUAUUGAAGCCAUUAACCUCCCCCAAUGUUGGGAAUACGACAGGAAUGAAUAUGGCAUAUUAAUGAUGCUGUAAGCUACAUAAUAGUGUAUGAGGAUAGGAUGAAUGAAUGAAUGUCGAGAAGUUUGACAAGGAAAGAAGUAAUAAGAUGGUGAUUGGUAUACAUAAGUAAGUACAAAAUGUGAUUGAAAUUGGAAUGAUUAAGAUGGAGUUAUGGUUCAAAUUUAAUGAUGGGGAUAACGACAUACUCAACGUCUUAAAAUAAGAGAUAAUGAUCGUGAAGGUUACCAUCGAUUUGAUUCUAAAGGAUAAUAACAGACAUAAGUGAAGCAUUCUAGUCGAACUGGAGGUAAACAACGUGAAUGAAUGACUAGAGGUUUGAUAAGAAUCAAAAUAAAGAUAUGUUUGAGAUUAGUGACGAAAUUAAAGGCGUACUUGGGAUCUUAGUGAUAAGAAAUAACAAUUGAUAAGGGUACCGUGGUUUUGACUCAAAUAUGAUAAUAGAUAUAAGAUACGUACCUUGAUCUUGUAAAGUGUUCUAGUCAAAUUGAAGGUAAUGAAGUGCGUAAAUCUAAAUUCCCUAUGAAGAAGGAAAUGGAAUAAGAUCAUCGAGGGAGAUUAACAACCCGACGUUGAGAAAAAUUCGAGGACGAAUUUUAUUUGAGUGGGGGAGAUUGUAAUGCCCCGUACUUUGCUAAGGUGACUAAUAAAGCUUAUCUAACACCAAUUGAGGUUAAUUAUAAUGUUUAGAAAUGAUGAAAGAUGAAAGGAAUAGUUUUGGAUAAAAUAUUUCACACGCGCAAAAAUAAUAAUAAAAUAAUAAUAUUUUUAUCGGGAAAGAAUUUGUGAGAUAAAAAGUGAUUCGGAAGUGUAUUGAGGCAUAAUAAGGUAUUUUGGGUACCAAGAGAUAAGAGGAAAUUUUUGGAAUAAAAUAAUAUUAAAAUAUUAAUAUUUUAUUAAAUUUCAAAAUUUUCCAUGAAGGAAGAGUAUAUAGUCAAUCUAAGUGGGGCAGAAGAGGAAUGAGAAAAUUUCAUAGAAAAAUGACAUUAAUGGGGCUGCGUGUCUUUAUUAAGUGAAGAUAGCACGGGUAAAUAAAUAUUUUAAAUAUUAUGGGAACACCUCAUUGGAGUACAAACUUUAUACUUUAUUUGUACAUGUGUAGAACAAGAUAAUAGAAGGAAAUUGGAGUUAAAUGAGUGUUGGGAGGACUAAAUGAAAAAGGGAAGAAACUUGGAGGGUAAAACGAUAAUUUUACACAAAGUUUGGUCAAAGCUUCCAAAAAAAACUUUGACUCUCAUCCUUAUCAACCCAAAACCAUCCUUAUCUCCUUCAACAAGAUGUUUCUUCUUCAUUCUUGAAGCUUCCAACGCCAUUCUCUCAUUCUCCCAUGGAAAGUUAAUUUUCUUUCAUUUUCUUUCCUUGUUUUCUUUUCAUUUCCUUUCUCUUCUUGCUUCUUUCUUCUCCCAACUUCUUGUGCACCAAAGUUACAACUUCUAAACCCAAUUUCUAGCACUUCCAAACCCAAGGAGAAAGAAAGAAAAAUCUCUCUUUCUUUCCUUUAUUUUCUAUUUCUACUUCACUUUCAAAAAUACUUAGAUUUUUGGCUUCAAAUCUUCAUUUUCAAGGUUGAAAGGUAUAUAUUUCCAACUGUUGGAAUUUUUGAAUUUAUGAUUAUAUUUUCAGAUUUAUUCCCUAAUUUCUUCAAAUUGUUUUUCUUGGAAAGAUUAGGUUUUUUUGUUGAUCUUCAUGCCUCCAAGCUCAUCCAGGUAACGAAAGUUUAAAUUGGAGUAGUUGGCCAAAUGGGCUUGUGAAUUAGACUAGAAACUUAGGUUAAAUGUUAGGUUAGAGGGUAGAUUGCCUAAUGUAAAUUCAUUAGAAUUAUUGGAUUUAAUUUAUGACUUAAUUGAGGUUGUUAUGGUUUAUUGAUAAAUAUAGGUUUUAAUGGUAUUUCGAGACUACCUAGAUUAGAACCAAGGUGAAUGAACUUGCAUUUCAAAAUGUUUUGGGAAAAUCUUUACGUGUUUCAAUGAAUCAUUUAGGAAUUUUAUCGAUUUUUGCUUUAAAAUUUCCUGGGAACAAGCCCUUGAUAAAAUGUUUGAUGUUGUGAAAUGUGAAAUGUGUAAAAGGAUGAAUACAUUUGUUUUUUUAUAAUGUUGAUAUAUAUAUAUAUAUAUAUAUAUAUAUAUAUAUAUAAUAUGUCAUAAAUGGUACCAUUGUGUGACAAAUGCAACCGUGCAUGUGCGGGGUGAGUGUGCACUUGUCGGUGAUGACGGUGAUGAAGGAGAUGGAUGGUGAUGCUGUCCAACUAUGUGCACGAUGUGGUGGGAUGCACAUGAGCUGGGUGAGAUGGGAUGUCCGGCUAUGUGCAGGAUGUGGUGGGAUGCACAUGAGCUGUGUGAGAUGCACAUGAUGAAUCUUGAAAAUUUGCCAUUUAUUUACAAAUUGAUUUUAUUGCAACGAGAAACAUUCUAUUGAUACUGCAUUGCUUGGAUAAUUGCUAAAAAUUUUCCUUUUUUCCAAUUUUAUGUUGAAUACGGUUCCUUCAUCGUUAAAUGAUUUUACAACCAAGGGUUUAAUGGAGGGAUUUUAAUAAGAACUAGAACUAAAUGGUAUUGUUUUCAAAUAAGUACAUUAUGUGUUCUAAACCAUUCCUUGUCAUUGCUUGUCCCCUUCCUAUGUUCACUCACUGAGUUUGUACUCACAUUUUUAAAAUUCAUGUUUUAGGUUUUCUGAGUUAAAGGUGAUUGGAUCCUAGGACAAGGUGCUUCUCCCUAUCCAUUGCUUGGUAGGUUUACCAUGACAUUAAAUGUUAGCAACCGUGAUCAGAGUCACUCCGCUGACGGUCAAGGCCUAAUUAUGUGUAUAUGAAUACUUGAGGUGAAAUACUAAGAUUCAUUGGUCAAGUUAUAUAUGUAUAUUAUGGUAGAUGAUGCCAUUAUGAAUGCAUAAUUGGGUUUUAUGAAUUUUUUUCAAAGGGACUAUAUUUGAACAUUAUGAAUUUUGGAUUUUAAAGGUAUAUGUAUAAGAUUAUACAAAGAGGCUUGCUUGGGCUUAGUGGGCUGAGCCCAUUGGGCCCUUGCACCGUCAUGGCCCGAAAAUUAGGCUGUGACACCUAAAUUCAUAUUGUCAAAAUGACUUUUUAAUAUUAACUCUAUGGAA